rnacentral:rRNA from 1 species
AUUGAACGCUGGCGGCAUGCCUUACACAUGCAAGUCGAACGGUAACAGGUCUUCGGAUGCUGACGAGUGGCGAACGGGUGAGUAAUACAUCGGAACGUGCCUAGUAGUGGGGGAUAACUACUCGAAAGAGUGGCUAAUACCGCAUGAGAUCUACGGAUGAAAGCAGGGGAUCGCAAGACCUUGUGCUACUAGAGCGGCCGAUGGCAGAUUAGGGAGUGGGUGGGAUAAAAGCUUACCAAGCCGACGAUCUGUAGCUGGUCUGAGAGGACGAUCAGCCACACUGGGACUGAGACACGGCCCAGACUCCUACGGGAGGCAGCAGUGGGGAAUUUUGGACAAUGGGCGAAAGCCUGAUCCAGCAAUGCCGCGUGCAGGAUGAAGGCCUUCGGGUUGUAAACUGCUUUUGUACGGAACGAAAAGCCCCGGGUUAAUACCCUGGGGUCAUGACGGUACCGUAAGAAUAAGCACCGGCUAACUACGUGUCAGCAGCCGCAGUAA